CCUGCCCUCCAUGACACCGACAGCACCCGAUGUCACAGGAAGGCCAAAAAGAUCAUCAAGGACAACAACCACUCGAGCCACUGCCUGUUCACACUGCUAUCAUCCAGAAGGCGAGCUCAGCGUUCAACACCAUAGUACCAUCAAAGUUCAUCACUAAGGAUCCUGGGACUAAACACCUCCCUCUGCAACUGGAUCCUGGACUUCCUGACAGGCCGCCCCCAGGUGGUGAGGGUAGGUAGCAACACAUCUGCCACGCUGAUCCUCAACACUGGAGCUCCCCAGGGGUGCGUGCUCAGUCCCCUCCUCUACUCCCUGUUUACCCACAACUGCAUGGCCAGGCAUGACUCCAACACCCUCGUUAAGUUUGCAGACGACACAACAGUGGUAGGCCUGAUCACCGACAACGACGAGACAGCCUAUAGGGAGGAGGUCAGGUGGUGCCCUGGCCAGGUGGUGCCCUGGCCGGGUGGUGCAAGAAUAACAAGCUUCCUGAACAGGUAAUCAAAUGGCUACCCGGACUAUUUGCAUUGUGUGCCCCCCCAACCCCUCUUUUUACGCUGCUGCUACUCUCUGUUUAUCAUAUAUGCAUAGUCACUUUAACUAUACAUUCAUGUACAUACUACCUCAAUUGGGCCGACCAACCAGUGCUCUAGCACAUUGGCUAACCGGGCUGUCUGCAUUGUGUCCCACCCACCACCCGCCAACCCCUCUUUUACGCUACUGCUACUCUCUGUUCAUCAUAUAUGUGUCUGUAUGUAGCCUCGCUACUUUUAUAGCCUUGCUACUGUGUAUAGCCUGUCUUUUUACUGUUGUUUUAUUUCUUUACCUACCUAUUGUUCACCUAAUACCUUUUUUGCACUAUUGGUUAGAGCCUGUAAGUAAGCAUUUCACUGUUGUAUUCAGAGCACGUGGCAAAUAAACUUGAUUUGAUUUGAUUACUGCACCUUGUCUAUGCCGCUCGGCCAUCGCUCAUCCAUAUAUUUAUAUGUACAUAUUCUCUUCACCCCUUUAGAUAUGUGUGUAUUAGGUUGUUGUUUGGGAAGUGUUAGAUUACUUGUUAGAUUUGUGUGUAUCAGGUAGUUGUUGGGAAUUGUUAGAUUAUUUGUUAGAUAUUACUGCACUGAUGGAACUAGAAGCACAAGCAUUUCGCUACACUCACAUUAACAUCUGCUAACCAUGUGUAUGUGACCAAUAAAAUUUGAUUUGAUUUGA